GUGCUUGCUUCAGCAGCACAUAUACUAAAAUCAGAACGAUACUGAGAAGAUUAGCAUGGCCCCUGCGCAAGGAUGAUGACAUGCAAAUUUGUGAAGUGUUCCAUAUUUUU